GCCGGUAGUGGUGGCGCACGCCGGUAGGAUUUGCUGAAGGAGGCAGAGGCAGGAGGAUCACGAGUUCGAGGCCAGCCUGGGCUACACAUUUUUUUCACCCUCCGCUCCUCACCCUUUCCUCAACACACUUCUUACACACUCACCCCUGCGCUCCUCCUCUUCUUUGCACUCUUC